CUCUACUGUUCGUCUCUUCCCCUUCCUUUAAUUUCUUCUCUCCAAGGCAGAGUUACUUUUUUGUUUUAAAGACGAAAGAUCGAAUCAAUGGCUGAGGAAUUUGGCAAGUCCGUCGAGGAUGGUCUCAAGCUCUCCAAGCGUUUAUACUUCGGGAAGGACAGGGCCGUCACUCCUCCUAAGCCGCCGCUGUCCAUGGAGAAGUCUUCAGAAAUGUCACUCCCAACGGCACCCAUGGUUUACGCUGUCAUAUCUGAUCCGGCUAUUGUGGAUAACCCGGACAUGCCUAGCUACCAGCCGCACG
rnacentral:misc_RNA from 1 species